rnacentral:tRNA from 2 species
GCCGAGAUAGCCAAGUUGGUCAAGGCACGUGUCUGAAGAACACGCAAUAUAGGUUCGAUUCCUAUUCUCGGCA